ACCGGCGAACGGGUGCGUAACACGUGAGCAACCUACCGAUUUGUGGGGGAUAGCCGGCCCAACGGCCGGGUAAUACCGCAUACGCUUGGUCUGGGACAUCCCGGGCCAAGGAAACCUCCGGGGCAAAUCGAGGGGCUCGCGGCCUAUCAGCUAGUUGGCGAGGUCACGGCUCACCAAGGCGACGACGGGUAGCUGGUCUGAGAGGAUGGCCAGCCACAUUGGGACUGAGAAACGGCCCAGACUCCUACGGGAGGCAGCAGUGGGGAAUCUUGCGCAAUGGACGAAAGCCUGACGCAGCGACGCCGCGUGGGGGAUGACGGGUUUCGGCUUGUAAACCCCUGUUGCCCGGGACGAACGCCCACUUUGAAGUGGGGUGACGGUACCGGGUGAGGAAGCACCGGCUAACUCCGUGCCAGCAGCCGCGGUAAUACGGAGUGUGCGAGCGUUGUCCGGAAUCACUGGCGUAAAGGGCGCGUAGGUGGCGGAGCAAGUCAACGGUGAAAGCUCGACGCUCAACGUCGAGUCGGCCGUCGA
rnacentral:rRNA from 1 species